rnacentral:misc_RNA from 1 species
CUCCUACCUUCGGUAGGCGAAUUGUAGUCUAUAGAUCCGUUCUCUGCACCCAGGUAGGCCCAAGUUCCUUGGAAGGGGACGUCGUAGAGGGUGAUAGCCCCGUCGGCUUGCCGGUGGGGCUUCCGGAAUCGAAGAGUCGGGUUGUUUGGGAAUGCAGCCCAAAGUGGGUGGUGAAUCCCAUCUAAGGCUAAAUAAGGGCGAGAGACCGAUAGCGAACAAGUACC